rnacentral:piRNA from 1 species
UAAUUCAAUACGACUCGUGUCCUUACAGGA